rnacentral:rRNA from 1 species
AGACAGCAGUAGCCGCGGUAAUACGUAGGUCCCGAGCGUUGUCCGGAUUUAUUGGGCGUAAAGCGAGCGCAGGCGGUUAGAUAAGUCUGAAGUUAAAGGCUGUGGCUUAACCAUAGUACGCUUUGGAAACUGUUUAACUUGAGUGCAGAAGGGGAGAGUGGAAUUCCAUGUGCAGCGGUGAAAUGCGUAGAUAUAUGGAGGAACACCGGUGGCGAAGGCGGCUCUCUGGUCUGUAACUGACGCUGAGGCUCGAAAGCGUGGGGAGCGAACAGGAUUAGAUACCCCCGUAGUCCCUGUCUCUUAUACC